AUUGAACGCUGGCGGCAUGCCUUACACAUGCAAGUCGAACGGCAGCACGGGGCAACCUGGUGGCGAGUGGCGAACGGGUGAGUAAUGCAUCGGAACGUACCUUUCAGUGGGGGAUAACGUAGCGAAAGUUACGCUAAUACCGCAUAUUCUGUGAGCAAGAAAGCAGGGGAUCGCAAGAACUUGCGCUGAUUGAGUGGCCGAUGUCAGAUUAGCUAGUUGGUGAGGUAAAGGCUCACCAAGGCGACGAUCUGUAGCGGGUCUGAGAGGAUGAUCCGCCACACUGGAACUGAGACACGGUCCAGACUCCUACGGGAGGCAGCAGUGGGGAAUUUUGGACAAUGGGGGCAACCCUGAUCCAGCCAUGCCGCGUGAGUGAAGAAGGCCUUCGGGUUGUAAAGCUCUUUCGGCCGGGAAGAAAUCGCACGGGCUAAUACCCUGUGUGGAUGACGGUACCGGAAUAAGAAGCACCGGCUAACUACGUGCCAGCCGCCGCCGUAAUAC
rnacentral:rRNA from 1 species